UUGAACCUGAGAGUUUGAUCCUGGCUCAGAGCGAACGCUGGCGGCAUGCUUAACACAUGCAAGUCGCACGAAC
rnacentral:rRNA from 1 species